rnacentral:lncRNA from 1 species
GUGGACAAAGCCCGCGGUGGGGUGAGGCGGGCCGGAGUCGGAGCUGGCGCCGGCGGGGAGGGGCCGGAGGUAAGCGCAGGCACCCCGCGAGGCAGGGCCGGGCAGCCUGUGGAGAAUGCCUGGUCUGGGCCCGUGGAGACGGGCUUCGGGCACUGUGGCGCCUCCCCCGGCUUGUCCUGCUCCUGCUUCCCGCCCCGAAGCGAAGCGGCGGAGACGCAACAGCAGUCGCAUCUGGAUCCGCUGCCCAGGCCACCUAGCCCGAGGCCGCAGAGCCCUGAGAUGUUGCAGUUCCCGAGCGAGCCGCGCUGGACGCCGGACGCCGCGCUCGGCCUGGCCUGGAGCCUCAGGCCCCGGGAGGCUGCUGAGUACUCGAGCGGAAGAGGCAUGCUUGAAGAAGGGAGACCGGCCACCUCGAUCGGCUCUUGGAGCAGGUACGGUGGUCAAAUUCGUUGCUGAGCGGAAUGCAGAAGAGGCGAAAUCUCCCUCAAACCACGCCAAGCAACGUGGCCUUCAGGUUCCCAAACAUUACACUCACUCAGGUCCUCACGUCUACAAUCACCUCUUGCCAUCUGAAUCCCAUUUGAGGCCACCGAGUUGCACAGCAGGAUGUGGUCUCGGAAAUGGAUGGGAUCAGUCCCUUCAUUUAACGGCCCAGGGAGUUUCUAUACCAUAGCCACUGCCUUGCAAGUUCUGAAUUUGACCUGAAGAAGCCCCAAACGGAGGAAAGAAGACAACUAAACCUCAAUUUCUUCCUAUCAGGAUAUCAAAGGUUUUCUCCGACUCAGCAACUACAGUGAAAACCAGUGAGACCCAAGCCAAAGAAACACUGUGAGGAAAGAAGACAAAUCAAAAGAAACAAAUUGAAGGAUGCAGUCAGUCCUUUAAGGACAACAACCUGGCAAGAAGGAGUUAUCGGAGCUCAGAUGUGCAUAGAAACAAGGAGCUAGAUCCAACUGCGAAUAUGCAAGUUCUGUGCUUUAUUACAACCCGAGUUAUCCAGCGGAAGAAGGCAGUUGUAGCUUGGGGAUAAGGGUUUCCAUGACGUUGUCAACAUCUACUCCCGGUAUCUUGUGCCAGAUCCGGUGCUAGGCUCCCCUGUAUCCACUCCCCCUUAUCUAGGUAAACACCCAGCCCCCUUCUUGGUGUCACAUCCAUGGCCUGGCUGCUUACUGGAGAAUGUGGUGCCAGCAGAAGUAAAUUAGGAAAACUCCAACCUAAAUAAAUCAGCAUAGUCCCAUUCCCUGCUGCAGUUGUUGGUUGGCAAUGUACUUGACACAAUUUGGGCCAGUGCUGAAGCUUUAGGGAAAGUUUUUGAUUGUUGGCUUUAUGUUGCAAGAGCGCUUCAGAGCAACCUCCUUCUUCUGUAUGUACUCAAGAAAUCCAGGAGCAAAAACAACCAAAAAAUGUGAAGGAAUAUCACCAGCAUAUUGUAUGGAAAAACAAAAAUCAAGAAAGCCAUCUUCCAACCACCAGGUCCAGCCAGGUUAAAAUAAAGCAGACAUGGAGAAAGCAUAGACAGAAAAAGAUAUGAUCUUUAGUGAUGUUUUUGAGUCUAUGAUCAAACAGCUUUUGAACCCAGAUCUCCCUUUAUUGAUUGAAUCAACAGGAUUAGAGUUUUGUUCUAUUUGUAUACUAAUGUGUUAUAAGGGAUAUAGGCCCAAUAGCCAUUUUUUGUAGCAAACACCUAAAUAUCAAGAUUGGAAGUCUGACUAAAAUUUUUAAGGCCCCAUCCAAUUGUAAGAUUCUAUGGCUAAGUGGUAAAACUGAAGAGAAAUAUUGAGGAAAGGAGAAACCAUGUAAUCAUAUCUUAAGGGUUUAUGCUGUUUUCAAGAGAAAAAGCCAGUUUCUUCUCAUCCUUCUACAACUAAUUUAGAGGAAGAAAUCAAUGUCUGUCCAAAACUUCAGUCACGGGGCUCCCUCCUUUGAAGUUCUUCAUAUCUAUUAUGGCCCAUAAUGUUUUAUACUUCAUUUUCCUCAUUAGAGUAAAUACUCCUUGAGGACUAGGAUUGCCAUGCAUUUGCCUGUACAGUGCACCUAGCAUAGUACUGAGUGUAUCAUACACUCUCAAAAAAGGAAGGCUGGAAUUUAAUCUGUCAGUCAUUUGAUAUUAUAACAUGAGUUUAUUUUGCAUCCUGUAAUAUAGUCUUUGCAUGUACCAUUUUUAAUAGGAUAUUAUUUCCAGCAAUGAAUUUUCUAUAAUAUUCCUGACAUAUAUGGAAGUCAAAAAGAAUAUUAAAACUGGAGUUUUGUAGCUUUAAAGUCAUUCCUGGGCCUUUGCUGACCUUGCCAGAUAGAGCCAGAAGGCUUUAUUUCAAAGCUUAGAGAGAGGAGUUCAGCUGUGGCUCAGUGGGUUAAGAACCUGAUAUAGUCUCCAUGACGAUGGGGGUUGGAUCCCUGUCUUCACUCAGUGGGUUAAGAAUCCCAUGUUGCCACAAGCUGCAAUGUAGGUUGCAGAUGGGGCUGGGAUCCUGUGCUAGUAGGCCAGCAGUUGCAGCUCUGAUUAGACCCCUAACCAGGGAACUUCCAUAUGAUGCAGGUGCAGCCAUGAAAUUUUUAAAAGGGGGGGAAGUUAUAAUCUGAUAGAUUUUAGUUUACUGUCCAUUCACUGUCCAUUGGGCAAACACAGGAAUUCUGUCCCCAUAGUUUCGGUCUCUUCCAAGAGCCCUGCACUCUACAUUCAAAAACACACAUGCAAUCAAUUUUAUCAGGAAGACCUAAAUUGCCCAGAGAAACCUUUACAAUUAAAAGGAAAAGAAAGCAAAACAGUAGGCUUUGCUUCCUUGAGAAAGACUUGACUUGAACCUCUUGUACAGAAGGCAAACAUUCUAGAAAGCUCAGAAGAGGAGAAGGAGGUGGGAGCAGAUUUAAUCAAGUCAAGUAACAAGUUGCAGUCUAGAUAGAGUGACUGGCCUUACAUUUUCCACUUGGGACUAAGGUUGAUGGCUAAUGGGCUCACUUGUAGUUCCCUUCUCUGUAGGAGAGCAGCUAGGAUUUGUACUUUCUUUUCCACAGCUUCCCCCUCAGGAUGAAUGGGAAGAAUUUUAUGUAAAAAUUAGUUUAAUAUGGAGUUCCCAUCAUGGCUCAGCGGUUAACGAAUCCGACAAGCAUCCAUGAGGACGAGGGUUCAAUCCUUGGCUUUGCUCAGUGGGUUAAGGAUCUGCUGUUGUCAUGAGCUGUGGUAUAGUCACAGAUGCAGCUCAGAUCCUAUGUUGCUGUGGCUGUGGCUUGCAGCUGUAGCUUCGAUUCGUCCCCUAGCCUGGGAACUUCCAUAUGCUGCAGGUGCAGCCCUAAAAAGAAAAAAAAAUAGCUUAAUAAGAAGUAAGAAGUACUACCUUCAGGUCAUGGCACUCCCAUCAAUGACAAACUAAAAACCAAGACUUUCCACUUUAAUCAUAAGCCAGAUUUUUCUAGUCAUCAACAAUCCACUCUUCAUUCUCUUCUAUCAGCCAGCAAGAAUCCCUCACCUUGGGGGAUUUCCUGGUACAGAUUUUGUCUUUCCUGUCUAUUUAUGGCUAAAAAGAAUUCUCUACUCCUUGCUAGUGUCAUUUGUUAUUUGAGACAAAAGGCUUUACUGCAAAAUUAUUCUCUGCAGAAGGUGAAGCAGGAAGUUUGCAGAGGGUAGGAGGAUUAAAGGAACAUUUGUAUAUUGGAUGUUGUGGACCCCAAAUAUCUUUACGAACUUCGCUCCCAGAUUCCAACAGCCAGACUUUCAACUUCCAAGGAGGCAAUUAGAAGAUCCUUCUAUGUGGAAUCUGAUCAACCCAAGAGGAAAGACCUGAAGAUAUUGACAAGGGAGGUUCCCCACCUAUUAACCCAAACAGAUCACUCUAUAGGGAUGUUUACAUCUGACAAACCCCCAUCCAAUCACCAGAGUUUCCAGUCAACAUUUUGUUAUCCUGUUCUUAAAUAUGAGUAGGCAUACCAAGGAUUAUCAGACAUUUGAGGAAAGCCACUAUCAUGUGGGACAUUUAGAGCAUUUAGAAUUGAAGACAGGAGAGUAUAAAAGAGGAAAAUAUUUAUGAAAGCUUUGGAAGAGAGGAGUUUUCACUGUGGCCCAGCAGGUUAAGGACCCGACGUCUCUAUGAGGAUGUGGGUUCAAUCCCUGACCUUGCUCAGUGGGCUAGAGGUCCAUUGUUGCCACAAACUGCAGCAGCAUAGAUUGCAGAUAGGGCUCAGAUCUGGUAUUGCUAUGGCUGAGGCUUCAGCUGCAGCUCCCUAGCAUGGGAACUUGCAUAUGCUGCAGGUGCAGCUGUGAUUAAAAAAAAAAGCUUGGGAAGAGAAAGUUAAGGAAAUUUCUUAGAAAUCAGAGAGGACCAGUUAAGAAAGUUCAAAAUCCAAAUAAUAAGGGACCUAAAAAGAGAUAUUAGGGGGAAAAUUAUGGAAGUCAUCCAUGAAAUAAUCCAAGAAUUCUCAGAACUGAAGUAUAAGUUACCAGAUUAAAUGGGUUCACCAAGUACCCACCAAAAUUGAUAAAAAUACAUCUAUACCAAAGCACAUAAUCAGGAGAUCUGUGAAUACAGCAAAGACCUUCAAGCUUCCAAAGAGAACACAAAACAGGACAAAUACAAAGGACUAAAAAUCAAAAUGGAAUUCCUGUUGUGGCUCAGCGAAGGAACACAACUAGGAUCCAUGAAGACUCCAGUUCCAUCUCUGGCCUCACUCAGUGGGUUGAGGAUCUGGCACUGUGGUGAGCUGUGGUGUAGACCAGCAGUUGCAGCUCCAAUUGGACCCCUAGCCAGGAAACUUCCAUGGGUGUGACCCUAAAAAGACUAAAUAAAUAAAUAAAUAAAUAAAUAAAAAUUAAAAUAGCACCCAUUAUUCAACAAAAACUAGAAUCUAGAGUGCAAUGGAACAAGGCUCUCAAACAUUCCAAAGAAAAAAUUGCUAAAUGAAGUACUUUUUAAAAUAACUCUAUAUACCCUAUUUUUGGGGUGAGGGGGAGGAAAGUCAUGCCAGCAGCAUGCAGAAGUUCUAGACCCUUAACUGCUAGAUGACUAGGGAAUUCCUGUGGCAUUUUUUUUAAAGCAAAUAUUACUUUUCUCCAGCCAAUGUCACUUAAUGUGACUGUCACUGCAAUUUAGGGAUUCAGAGACACACCUAACUGGGUCCCAGAUAGAACACAUGGUUGCAUCACCAGCAAACACACAGUUUUUGCUCUCUAUUUUCUCAGUAUCUCUAAAGGAUUUCUUUUCUUUUUAGGGGCUACCGGCCGCAUAUGAAAGUUUCCAGGCUAGGGGUCAAAUCGGAGCUGCAGCUGUGGGCCACAGCCACAGGCACAGCAACUUGGGAUUGGAGCCUAGUCUGUGACCUACACCACAGCUCACAGUAAUGUCAGAUCCUUAACCCACUGUGUGAGGCCAAGGAUCGAACCCACCUCCUCAUGGACAGUAGUUGGAUUCAUUUUUGCUGUGCCACAACAGGCACUCCCUCAAAAGGAUUUUUAAAAUGUCAGUGUCUCAAAUUUUCACUAGCAAAGAAUUCUCUUAUUUAAUGAUUAUAGUCUCUCUCUCUCUCUCUCUCUUUUUUUUUUUUUUUGUCUUUUAGGGCCACAUGUGUGGCACAUGGAGGUUCCCAGGCUAGGGGUCCAAUCAGAGCUGUAGCUGCCAGCCUACGCCAGAGCUACAGCAACACAGGAUCAGCCACAUCUGCGACCUACGCCACGGUUCAGGUUAAUGUCAGAUCCUUAACCCAAUGAGCAAGGCCAGAGAUUGAACCUGAGUCCUCAUGAAUACAAAUCGGGUUCGUUAACUGCUGAGCCACAAUGAGAACUCCUGCAUUCUCUUUAGAACACAAAUUUAAUAUGCAUAUUUCUUGUAGUCUGAUUUCAAUUACUCACUGCAAUGAGGUAAGCAUCCAAACAAUAAAAACCUUUUUGGUAUUUUUUAACACAUCAAAUUUUACCAGAUUUUAAAAUAUCUUUGCCACGUAUUUGAAAAGACAGGUGCCUAGGAACUAAACCAAGAAAUAGAACUAUCUUGGAAAAACUGACAGACACUGGACUACAUAUUCUGCUCCACCCAUUUAACCUGUCCUUGUUUGGAAUAAAAGUUUGAAAACUGAUACCGGGUUCCAACAGGGACUGGAGACAUCCCACUAAAAUGCAAGCUCCGAGGAGGCAGAAUUUUUUUUUCUGCUUCGUUCAUUAAUGUAUUCCAAGCACCUAGAGAACAAUGCCAGCUACACAGUAUGUGCAUAGUAAAUAUUUUUGGGUUUAUGGAAAACUGAAAGACUGGCAGAAGGCAACUUAGUCAUAAAAAGAGCAACUGAAUAUUUAAGUAAGUAGCCAGGCUUUAGAAAAUGGAAAUUAAAUUUGCACCCGUAAUUUCCACUGCAAUAAAACCUACAAAAAGAGGAUUUCCCUGGUGGCCUAGCCAUUAAGGAUUCAGUGUUUUCACUGCUGUGGCUUAGGUUGGAUCCCUGGCCUGGAAACUUCCACAUGCUGCAGGUGCAGCCAAAGGGAAAAAACAAACUGCGGAAGAAUGGUAGUGGUAAAAACAAGGUCCUACUGUAUAGCUCAGGUAACUAUAGCCAAUAUCCUAAGAUAAAUCAUAAUGCAAAAAAAAAUUUUUAAAUAUAUAUGUAUAACUGAAUCACUGAGCUGUACAUGUACAACAGAAAUUAACAAUAUUGUAAAUCAACUAUACUUCAAUUUAAAUAAA